rnacentral:rRNA from 1 species
UACGGAGGGGGCUAGCGUUGUUCGGAAUUACUGGGCGUAAAGCGCACGUAGGCGGCUUUGUAAGUUAGAGGUGAAAGCCCAGGGCUUAACCCUGGAAUUGCCUUUAAGACUGCAUCGCUAGAAUUGUGGAGAGGUAAGUGGAAUUCCGAGUGUAGAGGUGAAAUUCGUAGAUAUUCGGAAGAACACCAGUGGCGAAGGCGACUUACUGGACACAUAUUGACGCUGAGGAGCGAAAGCUAGGGGAGCAAACGGG